rnacentral:rRNA from 1 species
CAGUCGCCGCGGGAAUACGAAGGGUGCAAGCGUUAAUCGGAAUUACUGGGCGUAAAGCGUGCGUAGGCGGUGAGUUAAGUCUGCUGUGAAAUCCCCGGGCUCAACCUGGGAACUGCAUUUGAGACUGUAUGGCUAGAGUGUGUCAGAGGGGGGUAGAAUUCCACGUGUAGCAGUGAAAUGCGUAGAUAUGUGGAGGAAUACCGAUGGCGAAGGCAGCCCCCUGGGCCAAUACUGACGCUCAUGCACGAAAGCGUGGGGAGCAAACAGGAUUAGAUACCCCGGUAGUCCCUGUCUCUUAUAC